UGUUGGUCCAGGUAAGUGGUUUGUAUUUCUUUUUUUAUUUUUUGUUGACAUAUAUUUUGGUAUUAUUUCACCAGGUAUGUAUUGAGUCAUUUUUACGUACAAUAGUACUUUUGCAGGUCCAGGUAAGUGGUUUGUAUUUCUUUUUUUAUUUUUUGUUGACAUAUAUUUUGGUAUUAUUUCACCAGGUAUGUAUUGAGUCAUUUUUACGUACAAUAGUACUUUUGCAGGUCCAGGUAAGUGGUUUGUAUUUCUUUUUUUAUUUUUUGUUGACAUAUAUUUUGGUAUUAUUUCACCAGGUAUGUAUUGAGUCAUUUUUACGUACAAUAGUACUUUUGCAGGUCCAGGUAAGUGGUUUGUAUUUUGGGUAAGUAUUUCUUGUAGACAUAUGUUUGUAUAAAUUGUUUUUGUAAUUUGUUUCUUUUUAGAAAUCGGGUUGCUGAGCGACGGUGAUGUUGGGGGGGGAGGCACUGGCGUGUUAGGUAAGGGUUUGUCCUUUGCCCAGCU